ACUCAGGCCUGUUUCGCCACUCCACGUUUGGCCCCUACAGAUUUAUCAGCGGAAGUGCUGAUCGAACGCGUCGUUCAAUUCGGUCUGUUGCCGAGACUGUUGGGGGGGCACCAUGGCGUCUCCCAACAGCGGCGAGGUCGGCGCAGCAGGCGACCUCCUAGAGACCGGUCUGCUGCUGGCCGCCUCCAAGCAGGAGGAGGCGGCGCCGCCAGCUGCCGUGGAGACGACGACGACGACGACGUCGUCGGGGCGGCGUCUGGCGGAGCACGAAAUGACGGCGACGCGCUCGCGGGUGCGGCAGGUCGUCCGGCGCGCGGCGGCGCAGUUGCAGGAGGUGUUUCUGGGCACGAAGCUGUUCCCGCUCUUCUCCGCCGUGCCGCUAGCAGUCGCCGCCGAGCACUUCAGCUUCGGCCGGGCAUGGGUGUUCGUUUUCAGCUUCAUAGGCCUUGCUCCUCUCGCAGAACGUGUGAGCUUCCUAAGCGAGCAUGUUGCCGAUACAGCAGGACCAACAGCUGGAGGGCUUCUGAAUGCAACUUGUGGGAAUGUACCUGAACUAGUUAUUGCACUGUUUGCCCUGCACAAAGAGAAGAUGGAAAUCCUAAAGUGGUCUCUUUUAGGUUCCAUAUUAUCUAAUUUGCUCCUAGUCCUUGGUUCAUCACUCCUUUGUGGUGGGCUUGCUAAUACAGGCAAGGAGCGUCCGCUAGACAGGAGACAAGCAGAUGUAAGCAUAGGCCUCCUGAUGCUGGGUGUGCUCUGCCACAUCUUACCUCUAUUGUCAAAGUACACAACAAGCACUGGAGAUAGCACAGGCUCGGUUCUGGUGUUAUCAAGAUUAUGUGCAAUCGUAAUGCUCAUUGCCUACUUUGGAGGUCUCGUCUUCCAGCUAAAGACUCAUCGUCAAUUUUUUGUGCAAGAGGAAAGUUCACAGAGCAGCAGCAGCAGCAACAGUGACGAUGAAGGUACAAACAAUUCAGUUAUAGGAUCUGCCAGUACAGUGAUCUGGUUGAUUGGGAUGACGGUAGUCAUUGCUGUGCUUUCUAAUUACGUUAUCACUACAAUUGAGGAAGCAUCAGAUGCACUUGGUAUCCCAGUCAGGUUCAUUAGCAUUAUCCUGCUACCUGUUGUUGGAAAUGCGGCGGAGCACGCAGGCGCUAUAAUAUUUGCUUUUAAGAACAAAAUUGACAUCACCCUGGGAAUUGCUCUUGGCUCAGCUACUCAAAUUUUGCUGCUUGUGCUGAUAAUAAGGAGUUUACUUGUCAUGACAAGGUGCCCGUUAUUCUAAUUGUGUCCUGGGUGAAUGGCAUCCCUAUGGAUCUUGACCUGAACCUUGUUGAGACUGGAUCAUUGGUUAUGACAGUAUUUACAACUGCUUUUACACUUCAGGAUGGCAAAUGGCAUUACUUGAAAGGCUUCAAUUUGACACUAUGUUACAUUGUAAUAGCAGUGUGCUUUUUCACCAUAAAGGCCAUCCCAACACCAAAGAAGCACAUGCCUGAGAUGCUGGGUUUGGAAUCAAAUUGAGGCAUCUCAAUUCAAGGUUGUGGAUUGGCGUUCCCUCGAGCACCUGAGGCCCUGAUGAUCAAGUUGUUUGUGAACACACCGGUGACCAGCAUAUUUGACACUGACAGUUUGUCAUGUGGAAGUAUUGCUAAUCUAUCUCCACCUCUCUUACUGCUGUCAAAAUUAAGUAGGGCCAAUCACAAGGAAGGUAACAUAGGAUGUGAUGUGAUGAUAGUGUGUGUUAGUGUCUCAUGGAAAACAUUUGUGACUCGAUCAAAUAAUGGCACUAUCAAAGCAUACUCCAAGAGAAUUUGUAUUGUAGAUGUUUGUAUAAAUUUCUUGAUUUAAAAAAAUGACUUAAGACAAAAUUAAAGUGAACUAUAUUUUGAAA